CUGCCUUUCUCACCACCUCCUCUGAGGUCUGCUUCUCUUCCUCCCGGACCUGCUUUUCUUUCUCUAGGGCCUCUUGGAGGGUAACUACUUCGGCGGCCUUUUCUUUGAGACGAGCGACUUCGGCCCGGUGAUGCUCCUCCGCCUGGAUGACGUCCCUCCUCGCCCAGUUCGUCGCCUCGACGUUGGCAAGGAGCUGGUGCCCAAUCUACAAGGGCGGCUAGGGGGUCAGAACAAGGGUCGAAAAGCUAAUUAAAUGAAGAUUUGUUUACCUUGAGAAAGGACCCCAGGGAGUCCCAAACCCACUGCUCAGGAUCGGCGCGGUCAAUC
rnacentral:lncRNA from 1 species